CCCCUCCUCCGUCAGAUGGCGUUCUGCCUGGCCGAGCUUCACUGUUGGUCCUCCAGCAGCUCACUACAAGUCAGAGAUACAGAUAUUGGCACCUAUCAGUACUAUGACAAAGGAGAGCCAGCCGUCCCAUCAGAGCACCACUACUACACUGACAAACAGGAUUUCUCUGAAUGUAAGUCCUUUCAAAUCACUGCCC